AACGAACGCUGGCGGCAUGCCUAACACAUGCAAGUCGAACGAGACCUUCGGGUCUAGUGGCGCACGGGUGCGUAACGCGUGGGAACCUGCCCUUAGGUUCGGAAUAACUCCCCGAAAGGGGUGCUAAUACCGGAUAAUGUCUUCGGACCAAAGAUUUAUCGCCUUUGGAUGGGCCCGCGUUGGAUUAGCUAGUUGGUAGGGUAAAAGCCUACCAAGGCGACGAUCCAUAGCUGGUCUGAGAGGAUGAUCAGCCACACUGGCACUGAGACACGGCCCAGACUCCUACGGGAGGCAGCAGUGGGGAAUAUUGGACAAUGGGCGAAAGCCUGAUCCAGCAAUGCCGCGUGAGUGAUGAAGGCCUUAGGGUUGUAAAGCUCUUGUACCCGGGAUGAUAAUGACAGUACCGGGAGAAUAAGCUCCGGCUAACUCCGUG
rnacentral:rRNA from 1 species